rnacentral:rRNA from 1 species
GACUACUAGGGUAUCUAAGCCCGUUCGCUCCCCUAGCUUUCGCCUCUCAGCGUCAGGUGCAGACCAGGAAGCCGCCUUCGCCACUGGUGUUCCUCCUCGUAUCUGAGCAUUCCACCGCUACACGAGGAAUUCCGCUUCCCUCUUCUGCCCUCUAGCGAUCCAGUUUCGUACGACCCCUCCCAGUUAGGCCGGGAGAUGUCACGUCCGACUUGGAUUGCCGCCUACUUGCCCUUUACGCCCAGUAAAUCCGGAUAACGCUCGCCUCCUACGUUUUACCGCGGCUGCUGGCACGUAGUUAGCCGAGACUUAUUCCCGAGGUACUGUCCUUACUCAUCCCUCGGAAAAGGGCUUUACAACCCGAAGGCCGUCAUCGCCCACGCGGCGUUGCUGCAUCAGGGUUUCCCCCAUUGUGCAAUAUUCCUUACUGCAGCCCCCCGUAGG